CAACCAUUUUACUGGGAAAUAUCACAUAAUGUAAUAGUAUAAAAUUUCCUUCUGAAUCUGUUCCUACUCUCAAGAAACAAAAUAAGUAAAAUACACUAACUCAUUUAGUUAAAAACAAUUUAAGCCACAAGCAAGUUCAUAAAACAGAUUAUGAAAAUCUUUUAACAUAUUUAAGCACCAACUACUUCAGUUGGCUCAGUUGCAAUGUCCUCAGCGGGUCUAUCCACCUUCACACCGACAUCUUCUGAGUAAUCACCGUGAACCUCCAUCAACCUCCCAAGGUCAAAUUUAGGAGCCUUCAAGAUCUUGACCUUGCGAAUGAAUACAUUCUGCAAAGGGUAGAUGCUUGAAGUUGCCUUCUCAAUCUCUCUACCGAUUGAUUCAGGAAUGAACUUCAGGACCAAGUCUUUCAAAUCACACGAUUGUGCCUGGUUAACCAUGAUCUCACGCAUCUUGCGACGAAUCUGGCGAAUCUGGCUUGACUGCGCGUAGCAGGUUCUUUUUUGUUGGUUUGGACGCUUUUUGGUAAAGCCAAUGCAGAACAUUCUCAAGGUGUAGCUAUCAGUUGUCUUAACGUCAACAUGAGCCUCAAUCAAUGAUUGCCAUUUCUUUACCAGUGACCUCAAUUUAUCUGUGGUGAAAUCCAUACCGUGAAAGUUUGUCAAGACAUUUCUUCCUUGGACGUCUUCAGCUCUCAGACGAAUCUUCCUGAAGGAGUGAUCUUCGUCAUUCUGAAGAUCAGCCAAUGACACUUCGAACACACGAUGCUUCAGGCCUUCUGAAGCAAUCUUUGUACCCUGUGUACGGGUAACAAGGGUCUUCCCUACAUUGCGGACACCAAAUACUGAUGGAGCCUUGAUAUCAUACCAAUCCUUUUUAGCAUAUGGAUCAGCUGCCUUCUUCUUCCCUCCUUUUUUGCCUUUGGAAAUUCGCUUGUUCUUACCGACGGCCAUGGUCGAGCUUCUGAGCUAUGGUAAGAGAGAGAAACACAGAACUAUAGUG
rnacentral:misc_RNA from 1 species